AUGGAGAUAAUUUUUCAUUAAAGAAGCCUGCCACCAUCCACUUUCGUUUCAGCCAUGAAGAAAGCAGGAUGGAGUCCCAACCGCAGCAGGCUGUCUCCAGCAAUGACACCCUGGUGCUAGUGGGGCGAAGGGCCAGCCCUAUAAAUUCCCUAGAGCGUGAGCACCUCUCUAAGCUUGUACGGAAUGAAAUUAUCUUAGCCAAUGAGAGCACAUAUGGGAAAGUCAUGGCCAUGAAAAAAUUAGCAUGGGAGAGGGUUGCCCUCCAUUUUAAUGCAGCUGGAUAUUGUGAGAAGAGAACAGUAUAUCAGCUGCAAAAAGUAUGGGAGCGCAUUAAAGGAAAGGCUAAACAUAAACAUGCUAAUGUCAAAUGUAAAUCAUGUAAAACUGGUAGUGGUGCAGCUCCUCCUCCCAUCCCUGAAGCAAGUGCCAAUAAGGUGCUCACCAUUCCAGGCACAUAAACUGAUGACCUUGGCUGUGAUUUUGACAGUGAUGCUGUCAGAUCUGUCCAGAGAAAAGAAGCAGUGCAUCCUGUAACUUCAUAUAAGGAGAUCAUACCACAGGAAGAGUAGGUCCUAGCUACAUGUGGGUACUCCAGUAUCUGGAUGCACCACCUCCAAAUCCUUGGAGAUGCCAACAUCUUUACCCAAAGUUAGUGUACAGAAUCGUGCAUUAUUGCUUUUUACAGAAUGAAUAUCAUUGUACAAUAAGGUCCCAGUUUAUAUCAAAGUUAGAUCCCUGGAACAUGACAAGCCAGUUUUGACUACCACCUGAGUUUAUGUACUUUUCAUUCUUGUCAUCAAAGUAGAUAUAUUGUGGUAUUUUCAACAAUUUAAUAUGUCUUUCAUUUAUAUAAGUAUGAUCUCAUGAUAUACUGUAAUGUACAGAGAGAUAAGAUUAUAUAAAAUGAAGUAGUAAGAAUGCAUGAGAAAAGAAUAAUGAGAGAGAGAGAGAGAGAGAGAGAGAGAGAGAGAGAGAGAGAGAGAGAGAGAGAGAGAGAGAGAGAGAGAGAGAGAGAGAGAGAGAGA